ACAGUAGUCGCCCGGGUUGCCGCAAGGCCUCCCGGGUAACCUACCACCCUUUGUUUAUUACACUUUGUUGCUUUGGCAAGCCUGCCCUCGGGCUGCUGGCUCCGGCCGGCGAGCGCUUGCCAGAGGACCUAAACUCUGUUUGUCUAUACUGUCUGAGUACUAUAUAAUAGUUAAAACUUUCAACAACGGAUCUCUUGGUUCUGGCAUCGAUGAAGAACGCAGCGAAAUGCGAUAAGUAAUGUGAAUUGCAGAAUUCAGUGAAUCAUCGAAUCUUUGAACGCACAUUGCGCCCCCUGGUAUUCCGGGGGGCAUGCCUGUCCGAGCGUCAUUACAACCCUCAAGCUCAGCUUGGUGUUGGGCCCCGCCGCCCCGGCGGGCCCUAAAGUCAGUGGCGGUGCCGUCCGGCUCCGAGCGUAGUAAUUCUUCUCGCUCUGGAGGUCCGGUCGUGUGCUCGCCAGCAACCCCCAAUUUUUUUCAGGUUGACCUCGGAUCAGGUAGGGAUACCCGCUGAACUUAA
rnacentral:rRNA from 1 species